AGUGAACGCUGGCGGUAGGCCUAACACAUGCCAGUCGAACGGCAGCACAGUAAGAGCUUGCUCUUACGGGUGGCGAGUGGCGGACGGGUGAGGAAUACAUCGGAAUCUACUUUUUCGUGGGGGAUAACGUAGGGAAACUUACGCUAAUACCGCAUACGACCUACGGGUGAAAGCAGGGGAUCUUCGGACCUUGCGCGAUUGAAUGAGCCGAUGUCGGAUUAGCUAGUUGGGGGGGUAAAGGCCCACCAAGGCGACGAUCCGUAGCUGGUCUGAGAGGAUGAUCGGCCACACUGGAACUGAGACACGGUCCAGACUCCUACGGGAGGCAGCAGUGGGGAAUAUUGGACAAUGGGCGCAAGCCUGAUCCAGCCAUACUGCGUGGGUGAAGAAGGCCUUCGGGUUGUAAAGCCCUUUUGUUGGGAAAGAAAAGCAGCAGGUUAAUACCCCGCUGUUCUGACGGUACCCAAAGAAUAAGCACCGGCUAACUUCGUG
rnacentral:rRNA from 1 species